GAAACAAGCAUAAUGAAAUAAAUACCUUUAUUUAAGAUUCUGGAAAAUGAGGUAUUGUAGACAUCCAGAGCUGAUCGACAGGAACUGGGUUCUGUUCAUCUUGCGACACAUUUCUUCCCAUAGGAAAACCUCCCCCAUCACCCCAAUACUCAUAUUUUAAUAAUCUAGCAUCAUUGGGUCCUUUAAAUUCCUUUUUUACAGCUCAUCAUGCUACAUUCAUCAAAAACGUUUAGCAUGCUGAGGUUAUGUUCCCUUUGUGCUAAAUUUUAAUUUCUUAGAGGUUCAAGUAUAUACUAUGAAGAGUUUAUAUUCUCAGUAGCUCUGUGGUCUUUCCCCACCAAAUGACCUAACCCAUGUUUAAAUACUUCUCCUGUUAUACCAGGACACUAAGUCUCAAGAAGGAUAAGUGACUUUCUAACAGUUACACAGGGAAAAAAGUAGCUGCAAGGCUUCCUGGGCAUAUGUGAUGGAACCUUAAGUGACUGCCUCAAAUGCAAAAAGAGAAACAGUACCCUCUUCACAGACUUGUGAGAAUUAAACCACCAGCAGGAUCCCACUGCUCUAACUUCUAAGCCACUGCACAGACACCAGGUUGCUACAAGUUACGUGAGAACUGUGACCUCAUUAAAGGUUCUUGUGUAUUGUAAACUGCAGAGUGAUAGUUGGUGUAAGUCAGUUAAAAUACCAGCAUCAGAGCUUUACAGCUUCAGUGGCUUCUACCUGUACUUUUCAACCUGAAAAAAAGAAAAGUUUGAAAAUUACCUUUUGAACAAAUAGCAAAAAAAAAAAAAAAAAGGAUGUUGAGAUACAUAUUCUUUUCAGUUUGGGCAAAGGAUAUCCAGAAAAAGCUUUUUGUAUACGUUUCAUCACCUACAAUUUCUUUCCCCCGCUCCCGCGCCGGAAUUCAAAGAUGACCAAAGUAUCCAAAUUCCCUUAACUAUCUGAAAACAUCAGAUGGUAUCCCCAGCAGGGUCUAUCUAAAACGCAGGCCUGAAAGUUUCAUCAAACCUAAGGUAAAAUUUAAAUUUAUCACUCUGCUAUUAUCUAUAUUACAAAAGUGCUCAAACUCAAAUCUGGCUUAGCUGUGACUCCAGACAGGCUCCAAAGACGAGUUUUACCAUCUCUUCUUUGGGUUUUAUGGAGACUUACUUUACCCUUCUGUGUUAGCCUCUUAAGGCACUACGUCAGCCUUAAAAGGGCACAGGAAAGGGUGAUUUGCGCAUUUUGGGGGGCUAAGAUUUCCUGCACUUGUCUCUCAAUAUUCGUGGACCUCAGCAGUUUAACUGCUUUCCAAAACCUACUAGAAGCAGCUGUUCUUCCGGGUGGGGCCAGCCUGUUUAUAUUAAGGGAGAGCCGGAUUCUGGCCUUUGCACCAAACACGUGCCUGGGAACCCUCCGGUCGCCAUUGGCCACGUGCUCGGACCCGGGUCAUUUCACUUCUCUCAAUGGACGGGAACAUACCUGCGCUUAGAACUCAGGCCUCUGUACCCGGGGACAACGGACACAGGCUCUUUAGGCUCAUGGUCGGUCCGAGAUCGGGUUUCACUGCCGCGGGCUGGGCCGGGCCCGAACCGCUACAAAGUAGCCGCGGCUGC
rnacentral:lncRNA from 1 species